AUUGAACGCUGGCGGCAGGCCUAACACAUGCAAGUCGAACGGUAACAGGAAACAGCUUGCUGUUUCGCUGACGAGUGGCGGACGGGUGAGUAAUGUCUGUGAAACUGCUUGAUGGAGGGGGAUAACUACUGGAAACGGUAGCUAAUACCUCAUAACGUCGCAAGACCAAAGAGGGGGACCCUCGGGCCUCUUGCCAUCGGAUGUGCCCAGAUGGGAUUAGCUUGUUGGUGGGGUAACGGCUCACCAAGGCGACGAUCCCUAGCUGGUCUGAGAGGAUGACCAGCCACACUGGAACUGAGACACGGUCCAGACUCCUACGGGAGGCAGCAGUGGGGAAUAUUGCACAAUGGGCGCAAGCCUGAUGCAGCCAUGCCGCGUGUAUGAAGAAGGCCUUCGGGUUGUAAAGUACUUUCAGCGGGGAGGAAUGGAGUAAAGUUAAUACCUUUGCUCAUUGACGUUACCCGCAGAAGAAGCACCGGCUAACUCCGUG
rnacentral:rRNA from 1 species